AUUAGACCGCAUGGUCUUGUUAUUAAAGAAUUUCGGUUAUCGAUGGGGAUGCGUUCCAUUAGGCAGUUGGUGAGGUAACGGCUCACCAAACCUUCGAUGGAUAGGGGUUCUGAGAGGAAGGUCCCCCACAUUGGAACUGAGACACGGUCCAAACUCCUACGGGAGGCAGCAGUGAGGAAUAUUGGUCAAUGGGCGCAGGUCUGAACCAGCCAAGUAGCGUGAAGGAUGACUGCCCUAUGGGUUGUAAACUUCUUUUAUAUGGGAAUAAAGUUUUCCACGUGUGGAAUUUUGUAUGUACCAUAUGAAUAAGGAUCGGCUAACUCCGUGCCAGCAGCCGCGGUAAUACGGAGGAUCCGAGCGUUAUCCGGAUUUAUUGGGUUUAAAGGGAGCGUAGGUGGACAGUUAAGUCAGUUGUGAAAGUUUGCGGCUCAACCGUAAAAUUGCAGUUGAUACUGGCUGUCUUGAGUACAGUAGAGGUGGGCGGAAUUCGUGGUGUAGCGGUGAAAUGCUUAGAUAUCACGAAGAACUCCGAUUGCGAAGGCAGCUCACUGGACUGCAACUGACACUGAUGCUCGAAAGUGUGGGUAUCAAACAGGAUUAGAUACCCUGGUAGUCCACACAGUAAACGAUGAAUACUCGCUGUUUGCGAUAUACAGUAAGCGGCCAAGCGAAAGCAUUAAGUAUUCCACCUGGGGAGUACGCCGGCAACGGUGAAACUCAAAGGAAUUGACGGGGGCCCGCACAAGCGGAGGAACAUGUGGUUUAAUUCGAUGAUACGCGAGGAACCUUACCCGGGCUUAAAUUGCAUUUGAAUAUAUUGGAAACAGUAUAGCCGUAAGGCAAAUGUGAAGGUGCUGCAUGGUUGUCGUCAGCUCGUGCCGUGAGGUGUCGGCUUAAGUGCCAUAACGAGCGCAACCCUUAUCUUUAGUUACUAACAGGUCAUGCUGAGGACUCUAGAGAGACUGCCGUCGUAAGAUGUGAGGAAGGUGGGGAUGACGUCAAAUCAGCACGGCCCUUACGUCCGGGGCUACACACGUGUUACAAUGGGGGGUACAGAAGGCAGCUACCUGGUGACAGGAUGCUAAUCCCA
rnacentral:rRNA from 1 species